rnacentral:rRNA from 1 species
AUUGAACGCUGGCGGCAGGCCUAACACAUGCAAGUCGAACGAUUGGCGGACGGGUGAGUCAUGUCUGUGAAACUCCCUGAUGGAGGGGGAUAACUACUGGAAACGUUAGCUAAUACCGCAUACCAUCGGAUGUGCCCAGAUGGGAUUAGCUAGUAGUUGGGGUAAAGGCUCACCUAGGCCACGAUCCCUAGCUGGUUUGAGAGGAUGACCAGCACCACUGGAACUGGGACACGGUCCAGACCCCUACGGGAGGAAGAAGUGGGGAAUAUUGCAAAAGGGGCGAAAGCCUGACGCAGCCAGGCGGCGGGUAUGAAGAAGGCCUCCGGGUUGUAAAGUACUUUCAGAGGGGAGGCGUUACCCGAAGAAGAAGCACCGGCUAACUCCGUGCCAGCAGCCGCGGUAAUUC